UAAGCGAAAAUCACGCGUUUUCUCUUCGAGAAUCCCCCAUUUAAGUGAAAAUAACAUGUUUCCUCUAUGCAAAUUUCCCAUUUAAGCGAAAAUCACGCGUUUUCUCUUCGAGAAUCCCCCAUUUAAGCGAAAAUCACGCGUUUUCUCUUCGAAAUCCCCCAUUUAAGCGAAAAUCACGCGUUUUCUCUUCGAGAAU
rnacentral:lncRNA from 7 species